UACGAAGGGGGCUAGCGUUGCUCGGAUUGACUGGGCGUAAAGGGCGCGUAGGCGGUUCGUACAGUCAGACGUGAAAUCCUGGGCUCAACCUGGGGGCUGCGUUUGAUACGUGCGGACUUGAGUGCGGAAGAGGGUCGUGGAAUUCCCAGUGUAGAGGUGAAAUUCGUAGAUAUUGGGAAGAACACCGGUGGCGAAGGCGGCGACCUGGUCCGAUACUGACGCUGAGGCGCGAAAGCGUGGGGAGCGAACAGG
rnacentral:rRNA from 1 species